UAUUUCAACCGACACUCAUCUAGUGCCCAACAGCGUAUGCUCUUUGAAGCUAAGCGGGGCCGUGCCUGGUUAGUACUUGGAUGGAAGACCCAUUUGAAAGACCAGGGGUUGCUAUCC
rnacentral:rRNA from 12 species